rnacentral:siRNA from 1 species
CGGCUAAGCACUGCAUACAAAUCA